AGCAGACUUGGAAAACUGCAAGAGGAGAAGAGUAAGAGGACUCUCAAAACAUUAAGAUUCUAUUGAAGCAAAUGUGAAUGUUUAUUAAUUGUCACAUUCUUUUGAAGCCUUGAAGCCCAGUAGCAAAAAGCAUAGGCGUUGACUGUGAUUAAAAUUUCAUGGCACCAUUUAACCGGAUAAGAGAAGGACCUAAGGUGGGAGAGCUACACUCAUGAGGUACUAGGUCACUGAUUCUCAACAGCAUCUCUGUACCAGUCACACUGGCCUUAUAGAACAAAUGAGUGACCUGAGAUAUUACAGCUUGUAAGAGGUGAAGGAGGGGAACUACUUGAGCAAAAGGCCCAGUGGAUUUGAGCCAAGUUCCAGAAGAGCAAUGAGAAUAUCAUAACCUCUCAGGAGG
rnacentral:lncRNA from 1 species